GAUGAACGCUGGCGGCGUGCUUAACACAUGCAAGUCGAACGGAAAGGCCCAAGCUUGCUUGGGUACUCGAGUGGCGAACGGGUGAGUAACACGUGGGUGAUCUGCCCUGCACUUCGGGAUAAGCCUGGGAAACUGGGUCUAAUACCGGAUAGGACCACAUUUUGGAUGGUGUGGUGGAAAGUUUUUCGGUGUGGGAUGAGCUCGCGGCCUAUCAGCUUGUUGGUGGGGUAAUGGCCUACCAAGGCGUCGACGGGUAGCCGGCCUGAGAGGGUGUACGGCCACAUUGGGACUGAGAUACGGCCCAGACGCCUACGGGAGGCAGCAGGGGGGAAUAUUGCACAAUGGGCGCAAGCCUGAUGCAGCGACGCCGCGUGGGGGAUGACGGCCUUCGGGUUGUAAACUCCUUUCGCUAGGGACGAAGCGUUAUGUGACGGUACCUGGAGAAGAAGCACCGGCUAACUACGUG
rnacentral:rRNA from 1 species